rnacentral:rRNA from 1 species
UACGUAGGGUGCGAGCGUUAAUCGGAAUUACUGGGCGUAAAGCGUGCGCAGGCGGUUUUGUAAGCCAGAUGUGAAAUCCCCGGGCUUAACCUGGGAAUGGCAUUUGGGACUGCAAGGCUUGAGUGCGGCAGAGGAGACUGGAAUUCCUGGUGUAGCAGUGAAAUGCGUAGAUAUGUGGAGGAACACCGAUGGCGAAGGCAGCCCCCUGGGUUAACACUGACGCUCAUGCACGAAAGCGUGGGGAGCAAACAGG